GGAAGGUGCUCUGGGUUCGAGUGGAACCAGGAUCUGCUCUGUUCACCUGACCUUGUUCAAAAACAAAGAAUUAUAAUGAUCAUGACCUCAAUAUUGCAUUGAUUAUUUAAUGUCUUCCUACUCAGCUGCUAGUGAUGUACAGGAGCUCUCUCUUUUGUCUUUUUCCAGGCAAAUAUUUGAUGGACCAAUCCGAGAGCGACCAGCUGUUUCUCACAAUCAACAGACAAUUACUUGAAGGACCAAGACACUGUAAUAUGUGCUCAGUACAAAGCCAAGUGUGAUCAGUUCCUUCGA